ACCAGCCCUUUCCCAUAUGCUUAUAAAACAAUUAAGACUAAGUUGGGAAUGCCUCAAACUCAGGUUCUGCCUUGGUCUCUUAGGGAGCUGGCAGUAAAGACACUCCUCUACCCACCUAAGCUCAAAGCCUCCCAAAAUAAGUAGGUACUUGGCAACAUUUGAAUUCACAUUCUGACAUUGCCACUGGUCCCCAAUUUAACCAUUUGACUUCUCUGAUCUAGACCCUUGUCUGUAAGGUGAGAGUCAUCCUUUCAAAGGGUGUCCUGAAAACAUUAGAAGCAAAAGGCUCCCUGUACACCAACUGACAUCCUGGGUGGGGCAAACUGAGGACCACAGUUCACUUAGCUUCCCUUCAAUUUGGGCAAUUCCUACCCUACAGCCCCACAACCCUGGAGAGCAUCCUGAGGCAUUAGCCUUGCACAUAACCCCCUACUUGAUCCCAUGCCAGGUCAGUCAGCUUUCCAACCCUGAGAACAAUCUCCCCCAGAGGCAAGCAAUCUUGCUUCCCAGCCCCCCUCUCUGACCAAUCACAGGCACUAUUACGCCACAUGGUGAUAGGUACUGGCUUCCAGGAACACAGAGAUCUCAGAGGCAGACAUGACGUGGUUGGCCCUUACUCCUACAAAUGUGUGCUCACUGUGGGGCAGUUUAUCAGCUCUCAGUCCAGCUGCCACGGAGAUUCUACACAGUUCUCUGAGACCCACCCCGAAACUGUAGCCCUCUAGCUCUUAAGCCAACAGGAGGAUCCUAGGAAAGCCAGGAGGGUCCCCCUGGAGGUCUUAGACAUGAGGAGCAAAGGAUGAACAGAAACCCUAAAGGCAGAAGGGAAGGAGAGAAAUCACUUGAGACAGGGCACAUUCAGGGUAUGGCUGUAGACUGAAAGCGAGAAAUCCAAGGGUCUCUGGAGGGUUUAGGGGUGGAAAUUAGGGUGAAGAAAUGCUGGCUGAAGGAAAGCCAGACAGGGGCUCACGUGGCCCAGACUCGGGGUUUUCAUCUGCUACCUGAACUCUCCGAAUACCUUCAAUGAACAGUAACACCCAGCCACAGUCUCUUCAAGACUAGGCCCCUCUCUGGUUUUCACUUUAGAUGGUAUUUGAAGCACUAGGUGGAUGCCACAGCUGUUGGCUCACGUCAUGACUGAUCCGAAGCCGGAGGAAGAGCCACAGAAAAGCUCCAGGGUCCUCGUCCUCCUGCUUACCCUGCAUCCCGAGGCUACUCUGACUC
rnacentral:lncRNA from 1 species